CUGAUCCAGCCAUGCCGCGUGCGGGAAGAAGGCCUUCGGGUUGUAAACCGCUUUUGUCAGGGAAGAAACGCUCUGGGUUAAUACCUCGGGGUAAUGACGGUACCUGAAGAAUAAGCACCGGCUAACUACGUGCCAGCAGCCGCGGUAAU
rnacentral:rRNA from 1 species